GGGCUAAACAUAUUACCGAAGCUGUGGAUUGUCCUUUGGACAAUGGUAGGAGAGCGUUCUAAGGGCGUUGAAGCAUGAUCGUAAGGACAUGUGGAGCGCUUAGAAGUGAGAAUGCCGGUGUGAGUAGCGAAAGACGGGUGAGAAUCCCGUCCACCGAUUGACUAAGGUUUCCAGAGGAAGGCUCGUCCGCUCUGGGUUAGUCGGGUCCUAAGCUGAGGCCGACAGGCGUAGGCGAUGGAUAACAGGUUGAUAUUCCUGUACCACCUAUAAUCGUUUUAAUCGAUGGGGGGACGCAGUAGGAUAGGCGAAGCGUGCGAUUGGAUUG
rnacentral:rRNA from 1 species